UAGAGCGGCGGACGGGUGAGUAACGCGUAGGAAUCUACCUAGUAGAAGGGGAUAGCCCGAGGAAACUCGGAUUAAUACCGUAUACCUCCUUCGGGAGAAAGAAGGCCUCUCUUUGAAGCUUUCGCUACUAGAUGAGCCUGCGUAAGAUUAGCUUGUUGGUGAGGUAAAGGCUCACCAAGGCUACGAUCUUUAGCGGGUCUGAGAGGACGAUCCGCCACAUUGGGACUGAGACACGGCCCAGACUCCUACGGGAGGCAGCAGUGGGGAAUAUUGGACAAUGGGCGAAAGCCUGAUCCAGCCAUACCGCGUGUGUGAAGAAGGCCCUAGGGUUGUAAAGCACUUUAAGUUGGGAAGAAAAGUUAUUGGUUAAUAC
rnacentral:rRNA from 1 species